GGGAAAAAGAAAAGAAAAGGAGAAGAGAAAGAAAGAAGAGGAAACUUGGAGGAUGAAGAAGAUUUGAAGAAGAAGUGGAAAACAUUAAACAUCAAACCAAAUUCUUCCAUCAUCUUCAUCUUCAAGGUGUAAUGCGUAGUUGGUCAUCUGUAGAGAUAUCAUAAAAGUCAGAUGUUUGGGGAACCCACCUGGUGAACCAUGCUCAGUUUAAGUAAGUCUUGGAAGUACCAAUGUUACGACUACGAAUGACUAUAAGGAACAGAGUUGGAAGAGACUUACCGAGUGGUGAUCUUGAGGAGGUAUUUCUUGCGGGUUGAAUUCAAGAGAGGUUGUCUAAUGAUGUUUCAAGGGAUGUUGUUUAUCGUGAUCUUCUACUGUGGAGUUAUGUACAAUGAAGAUAUUGUACAUAGUUCUUAGAUUUUUAUUUUUAGGCACUAUUGUAUAACAUGUCUCUUUGAUGUUUUUAGUUUGGACAUGUGUAUAUAAUGAUGCCAAU